rnacentral:rRNA from 1 species
GACGUAGGUGGCGAACGUUAUCCGGAAUUAUUGGGCGUAAAGGGUGCGUAGGCGGCCGCUUAAGUCCUGCGUCGAAAUCUCGGAGCUCAACUCCGAGCGGUCGUGGGAAACUGGGCGGCUAGAGUGCGGGAGAGGAGAGUGGAAUUCCUGGUGUAGCGGUGGAAUGCGCAGAUAUCAGGAAGAACACCCGUGGCGAAGGCGGCUCUCUGGAACGCAACUGACGCUGAGACGCGAAAGCGUGGGGAGCAAACAGG